AUUGAACGCUGGCGGCAGGCCUAACACAUGCAAGUCGAACGAGUGGCGGACGGGUGAGUACUGUCUGGGAAAAUGCCCGAUGGAGGGGGAUAACAAAUGGAAACGGUAACUAAUACCGCAUACCAUCGGAUGUGCCAAGAUGGGAUGAGCUAGUAGGUGGGGUAACGGCUAACCUAGGCGACGAUCCCUAGCUGGCCUGGGAGGAUGACCAUCCACACUGGAACUGAGACACGGUCCAGACUCCGACGGGAGGCAGCAGUGGGGAAUAUUGCACAAUGUGCGAAAGCCUGAUGCAGCCAUGCCGCGUGUAUGAAUAAGGCCUUCGGGUUGUAAAGUACUUUCAGCGGGGAGGCGUUACCCGCAGAAGAAGCACCGGCUAACUCCGUGCCAGCAGCGGCGGUAAUAC
rnacentral:rRNA from 1 species